UACGUAGGGAGCAAGCGUUGUUCGGAUUUACUGGGCGUAAAGCGCACGUAGGCGGCUUUGUAAGUUAGAGGUGAAAGCCCGGGGCUCAACUCCGGAACUGCCUUUAAGACUGCAUCGCUUGAAUCCAGGAGAGGUGAGUGGAAUUCCGAGUGUAGAGGUGAAAUUCGUAGAUAUUCGGAAGAACACCAGUGGCGAAGGCGGCUCACUGGACUGG
rnacentral:rRNA from 1 species